UACGUAGGGGGCGAGCGUUGUCCGGAUUUAUUGGGCGUAAAGAGCGUGUAGGCGGCCAGGUAGGUCUGCUGUGAAAACUCGAGGCUCAACCUCGAGACGUCGGCGGAAACCAUCUGGCUAGAGUCCGGAAGAGGAGAGUGGAAUUCCUGGUGUAGCGGUGAAAUGCGCAGAUAUCAGGAAGAACACCCGUGGCGAAGGCGGCUCUCUGGAACGCAACUGACGCUGAGACGCGAAAAGCGUGGGGAGCAAACAGG
rnacentral:rRNA from 1 species